UAAAUAGAGCCGCGUUCUCAUUGGCUACAGCUUCCCCAUGCUGUCUACAGUUACGUCAUUAGUUUCGCAAUUGAUUCUUGGUCUAACCCAAACAAGAGAACUACUUUCCUACUGCCACCGCCCAGAUUUUCGAGCGACCAUUUUCAAACAUGUUUUUCUCCACGGACCAGCUAACGAUUCCACACGGUCUCCUGAGGUAUUCCUAGCUCGAUAUCUAGGCUAUAUAUGGACCGAUUUAAUCGAAAAAAAGACCCUAAAUGAUGUUUAUGGGACAUCUAGGAGUGCCAAGAAUGAAGCUCGUCAAAGUCAGCAGAUGGCGAUGUGAGUCUUUCAGGUGAUGAUUCUUCCGUGACGUAUAAUGGACUGGACGGACGCUUCUUCAGGAACAACAACACGGAUACUCUUUCAACCACCUCUUUAGCUUGCUAGCCAACAUAAAACUGAAAGAUUGACGCUUUAGAUCAUCUUAAUGUACAUGAUCUAAUCUCAGUGUUUUAAACACAGUUCUGUUGACGUAUUAACUGGUUAACUGUAACCUAAUUUGCAAACUUGUUAUAUAUUGAUACUGAGCCUAGCACUAGGCAAGUCGCUAAUAAUAAAUCCCUGACCAUGAGCUCACUAAACUACUCAUCCCCUGCUAAAGAAGAGGAUGUCUGCUGUACGGAGAAAGAAGCUCUGGCGCUGAACAUUGUCGUGGAAGAUGAAGAGGUUGAUGUUACAGUGAAAGAAGAGAAAGAACCUUUUAGAAUGAAAAAGGAGGAAGAGGAGACUGUUAUAGUGAAGGAAGAAGAUGCUGUUAUAGUGAAAGAACAUUUCAGAAUGAAAAAGGAGGAAGAUGAGACUGUUAUAGUGAAG